CCUACGGGUGGCAGCAGUGAGGAAUAUUGGUCAAUGGACGAGAGUCUGAACCAGCCAAGUCGCGUGAAGGAUGACUGCCCUAUGGGUUGUAAACUUCUUUUAUAUGGGAAUAAAACGUUCGACGCGUGGGGCUUUGUAUGUACCUUAUGAAUAAGGAUCGGCUAACUCCGUGCCAGCAGCCGCGGUAAUACGGAGGAUCCGAGCGUUAUCCGGAUUUAUUGGGUUUAAAGGGUGCGUAGGUGGAUUGUUAAGUCAGUGGUGAAAGUUUGCGGCUCAACCGUAGAAUUGCCGUUGAAACUGGCAGUCGUGAGUACAGUAGAGGUGGGCGGAAUGCGUGGUGUAGCGGUGAAAAGCUUAGAGAUCACGAAGAACUCCGAUUGCGAAGGCAG
rnacentral:rRNA from 1 species